rnacentral:rRNA from 1 species
UACGUAGGGAGCAAGCGUUGUCCGGAAUCAUUGGGCGUAAAGCGCGCGUAGGUGGCCACAUAAGUCCGUUGUGAAAGUCAAAGGCUCAACCUUUGAAAGCCGAUGGAAUACUGUGUGGCUAGAGUACGGAAGAGGCGAGUGGAAUUCCUGGUGUAGCGGUGGAAUGCGCAGAUAUCAGGAGGAACACCAAUAGCGAAGGCAGCUCGCUGGGACGUUACUGACACUGAGGCGCGAAAGCGUGGGGAGCGAACAGG